UAUAUAUAUAUAUAUAUAUAUAUAUAUAUAUAUAUAUAUAUAUAUAUAUAUAUAUAUAUAUAUAUAUAUAUAUAUAUAUAUAUAUAUAUAUAUAUAUAUAUAUAUAUAUAUAUAUAUAAUAUAUAUAUAUAUAUAUAUAUAUAUAUAUAUAUAUAUAUAUAUAUAUAUAUAUAUAUAUAUAUAUAUAUAAAUAUAUAAAUAUAUUAAACAGAACAUUACAUUUUUGUAGCAUUAUUUGAUAAUAUUACUGUUUUAGUAUACUUUUCAUCUAAUACUAGCUUUAGUGAACAUAAGAGACUUCUUUCAAAAACAUUUAAAAAUCCGACCAACCAAGUGAAAAUGAUGAAAGACUUUAAUUACACUGAACGCUUGGUCAUGUGUCAGAGACACUGUAGAGUGACAUAUCUGCUAUGCAAAUAAAUGCAAUUAUAGCUAGAUCUAAGUUCAGAGAAUCAUUUAUAGAACAGCAAUAUAUCGCCAGCCCUAAAACCAAUAUAUGGUAAAACAUUAAGGCAUUAAAGACCUGACAGUAUGACUUUCUAUAAAGCUGCUUUGAAAUGAUGUGCAUUGUAAAAAGCUCAAAUAAUGCAAAUAAAUUUGGCUUGACUGGACUCAUUCGGGCUCUUCUUACCUCAAGUGUUUCUCAAGAGUGUCCACCUGGUCAUGCAAGGCUUUUGUAGAGUCUGUCUCUGGUCUGGGAAUGAGAGAGAAGUAAACAAGAUCAAAGAUCAGCCAUCUGAACACUCACAGACUGCAUUUAUCCAAAGUCACUUUCAAGAUUUUAACCUUCCAUUAUCUAAUAAUGUCACCAGGUCAGUGCUUCGGGAUGUCAGUCAUUCUGGUUAUAAGCUUUUAUAUUUGUUCUUUGUUAUGAAAAAAUGCAUUGGUUAUAGCAGCAUCUAUGAACUCUAAAUACUUGUUUUCUAUUUGAUCACCAGACAAGGUCAACACACACUACAAUAGUAAGUGGACUAGUUUGCAUUCUCCAGUUAGAAUCUGCUGGCAGAUGUUGUAACAACACUAUCUGGACCCAAAAAGACAGCCAUUCUGACUAAAUGAAAUUGUUUGCUAGAAACAAUUAAGCUGCAAAUAUUUAGUUAAAUUACUGACAAUAUUUUAGCAGCUGAACAACUGCCAUUGAAAUAUAAUGCCAGAACAAUAUAAUCCUUUUUUGAGGUUUGUGUUUACAUGUGUGUGUGUGUUUUUUUAAGCUGUGCCCCUUAUGUGAACUUGAGCAGAAAUCAUGUGCAAUUCUGCUUGAGAGUCCGGUUGCCAUGGAGAUAAUGUCUAAAUUGCAAAAAGAAAAAAAACCUGUUGCUGACAAAACUCAGACUUCUUCGGUCUAAACUAAACUCGAUAUGUUUGCAAUAUUUCCCUAGGCGCUUUCCAAGUUUCGACAUUUAACUAAAAAUGUUUUGUCGUAGUCUCAGUACUCCAAUUCAUCUCCUCAUCCCACAUCUGAACAGAAUUCACAAACGCAAACAAGUCUUUUCUCCAGUAGCAGCAAAAGAUAACAAGAAGAGCUCUGGAAAAACCCUAAAGCACUGAUCCCAGGAUAAUAAUGGAAGUGUAAAAGCACAUUAGGGUCUUGCAAAGGUACAGAGAGAUUUUACAGCAACAGAUUGACUGAAAGUGAGAAUGUGAAAAAGGCAGAUGCCAUUUGUAGAAGGUAUCAAAAUUAUUUUUAGCAGAACAAUGUCAAACCCUCAGGAUAUAACUGACGCCAAAUUUCGCAAAUCACGUUAUUUUUGGCAUAAAUGUGUUAUUUUGUUGCCCCACAAAAGAAAUCAAGUGCUAGAAAAACACCAACCCUUUGCACAAACGCUAAAGCCCCGUUCACACCAAGAAUGAUAACUAUAAAGAUAACGAUAUAAGCGUCCACACCAGCGAACGAUAUCGUCUGUUUAUUCUAAGCCCAUGUGCGUCUGCCCCUUUUUGCGAAUUCUCGAGCUCAUUAUAGCAGGAUGGAUACUGAUUGGCUGUCAAUGUUUGUAUCGUCCAUCAGCUGGAAAAAAUUGUUCUGAAAAUGAUUCCAACAAUAUCAUUUCUCUGUGCCUUUAUCGUUAUAGUUGUAGUGUGGACUCUGCUAUUCUUUAAUAUCGAGAACGAUAUUUAGAACUAUAUCUUUAUCGUUAUCUUUAUAGUUAUCGUGCUUGGUGUGAACGGGCCUUAACACUUCAUCUGCAGUCCAAAGACAGCAGAAAUGUAUAUUUAAUAUCAAUAUAUGCGGAUGAGUGACAGGCCUCUCAGUCUCCAAGACAUCUAAAGGCAGCAGGGAUAUAAUAAGGAACGCUGAGAGGUUUUGACGGUUCACACUUUGAAGGCAGACAGACACCUGCUGUGCUAAUAAUGAGCUAAUCAGGGGGUUACGUGACAACUGUGCACACAUGUGCUAUUGUGUGUGUGUGUGUGUGUGUGUGUGUGUGCGUGUGUGUGCAUGUGUGUUUGACAGGGCUUUUGUGACAGCAGUGCCAGAACAAGUUUUGAAGUUGAGGUGCCAGUUCUUAUAACCAGCUUUGAAACCACUUUGUAUGAAGUGUCUUUAAUUACUAUGUACUAACAUUUAAACUAAUCAGUUGAUACAAUGCUACAUGAAAGUUUUACAUUGUACUUAUAUUUAAAAAAUACCUGCAUGUAAUUGUGUCCGUAAUUUCUGCAUUUCUACAUCUAUACUUAAACGCUAGACACAACCCCUACUUCCUUAACCAAUGGUGAAACUGAACCGUACCAUAAAACCUGUCCCAAACCUUACCUGUAUCCCACCCGAAAAGCAGCAAAAGUGUUGUGCAAUACAGCAUGAAACACUAAGUAUUUUUUUUGCUCUUUUUUUUAUCAUUUUAAAUAAUAAUAAUAAUAAUAUUAAUA
rnacentral:lncRNA from 1 species